rnacentral:rRNA from 1 species
UACAGAGGGUGCAAGCGUUAAUCGGAAUUACUGGGCGUAAAGGGUGCGUAGGUGGAUACGUAAGUCAGAUGUGAAAUCCCCGGGCUUAACCUGGGAACUGCAUUUGAUACUGCGAAUCUAGAGUAUGGUAGAGGUAAGUGGAAUUUCCGGUGUAGCGGUGAAAUGCGUAGAUAUCGGAAGGAACAUCAGUGGCGAAGGCGACUUACUGGACUGAUACUGACACUGAGGCACGAAAGCGUGGGGAGCAAACAGG